CUUGAAACACGGACCAAGGAGUCUAGCAUGUGCGCAAGUCAUUGGGACUUGCUAAACCUAAAGGCAAAAUGAAAGUGAAGGCGUGCCUCGCGCGCGCCGAGGGAGGAUGGGCCCGGCCUCGGUCGGGCCUCGCACUCCCGGGGCGUUUCGUUCUCAUCGCGAGAUGAGGCGCACCCAGAGCGUACACGCUGGGACCCGAAAGAUGGUGAACUAUGCCUGGUCAGGACGAAGUCAGGGGAAACCCUGAUGGAGGUCCGUAGCGAUUCUGACGUGCAAAUCGAUCGUCGGAACUGGGUAUAGGGGCGAAAGACUAAUCGAACCAUCUAGUAGCUGGUUCCCUCCGAAGUUUCCCUCAGGAUAGCUGGCGCUCGCUUUGCGAGUCUCAUCCGGUAAAGCGAAUGAUUAGAGGCAUUGGGGUCGAAACGGCCUCAACCUAUUCUCAAACUUUAAAUGGGUGAGAUCUCCGGCUUGCUUGAAACGUGAAGCCGCGAGAUAUAUUCAUUCGGAUCAGGGUGCCAAGUGGGCCAUUUUUGGUAAGCAGAACUGGCGCUGUGGGAUGAACCAAACGCCGAGUUAAAGCGCCUAAAUCGACGCUUAUGGGAUACCAUGAAAGGCGUUGGUAACUUAAGACAGCAGGACG
rnacentral:rRNA from 1 species